rnacentral:sRNA from 1 species
AAAAAAAAUAAUAAGAUAAAAUUAAAAGAAUACAAAAUUUUGACAAAAUAUAAAUUACAGCUAACGAAUCUUUUUAACUUAUACUCUAGUUCUAUUAGCUCGCAUAUUAAAAAUAGAAAUAUAUUAUUGUUUAAAAUUUGGUUAAUUAUUAUAUUUAAAGUACAAAUUGUAUAUUUUUCUAAUUUCUAUUUAAUUUUAUAAAAACGAGUGAAAUCUUUGGUUAAUUACUUAAUAUAUAAUAAUAUCCUCGCUGACGACGAAAAGCGACAAAAUGGAAAAUAUUGGAAAAUUACACCUACUUUUAUAUUAAUACUAAAUAUAAUAUAACUUUAACUAAUAAUACUGUUUUACAUUAAAUAUAUUUGUUAUUCCAAAAUAAAUUGGUGAACAAAAAAUCAAAAAUUCGUUAUAUUUAAUUUUAGCAGUUUUGACACUUUACAAUAAAUUUGAAAGAAUUAAUAAACCACAAAUUAGAAAUUCUUAAAGAAAAGACUGCACGACCCGAAAACGGGUUAUACCAAAACAAAUUAAACAAGUAAAAGGAAAGACGGGGGAUGGAAAUAACCGGCCAAAUAAACUAAAUGUUAGCGGAAUAAUAAAUAACAAAUAAGUUGAUUUACGGAAUAUAAAAAAGUUUAAAAAAACGCAUAAACUUUAAUAAAAUAAAUAUAACCGGAUACCGGAGAAAUUAAUUAAAAACGGGCAGAAUAUUUUUAAAAUAGGGCGUAAUUGAAAGUUAUUGUCUAAUUCCUUUCGCCACCCACAGAAUUAUAAAAAUAACGCAAAAAUAGCGCGUAAAACUGGGAAAUUAUAAUAUCGAAACUUAGAUUUUUACAUCCAACCAACUUAUUUUUACCACAAAGUUUCCCAUUAACAAUUUUAUAUUAUCUUUUUUAAUUAUUCUAUUACAACCCCCAAUAAUAUAUUUAAAAAAGAAUUUCCAAUAAUAACCGCCGGUAUAAUUAUAUAUUUAUAUAAACCCGUGAAACAAAACCGUAAAAAAAACUAAAUAUUAACUAAACGAAACACAUUGGGUAAUAAAUAGCUUUUUUCGGAAUGGAAUUAUUAACGCCGCGGUUUUUUGUUUGCAAACUGGGAUUUGGGCAGACGAUUGAAAUUUUCCAUCGGCGCCAUUUUUACGGUCGAAUAAAUUAGGUAUAUAAGUCUUUUAAAUAGGUCGAACCCCUAUUUCUUAUAAUUAUUUCUAAAUUUGAUAAACAAAACAACUCAAGUAUUUAUAGCCAACAAAUAUAAUUAUAUUUCUCCGCGAUAUUAUUUAGAAAAAGCGUUUGUUUUACGGCGUUUAAUUACACCUAAAACCAGGGUCUUUUACAAAAACUCUAAUUACUUAAAGGGGGGGGGGUUAUUAUAAACCCCAUUAAAAAGGGGGUUAUAAAACCGUAAAUUAUAUAUUAUUUGUAUGGACUUGUAACUUCUUUGGCGAGUAACUUUUCAUAGAAAUUAUUCGUAUUUAAAUACAUUAUAUAUUUUUCAUUUUAAUAUAAAUGGAUUUUUAGUUAUAAUUACCUCCUAUAACUAGUAUAAAAUCUCGAUAAAAUAAUCUUUUGUAAAGUAUAUCCGGAACAUUGGGUGGUAACUAUUAUAAUUAAAUUUAAAGUUAAUAUUUAUAAGAUAUAAGAAAAUAAUACAUUGAAAAGUAUUAAUAUUAAUUUCCGCCGAUUUAUUAUAUAUAAUAUUAAUAAAGUAUUACUAGUUAAAAAGAUUACAAAUUUAUAUAAUUAAUAUAUAACCCAGGGCUUUAUAACCUCCUCUUUGAGGGGGCUUAUAACAAACAGCCCCCAAAUAUUUAAAUGUUUCCGGCUAUUUUAUAAAUCCGUCACCAUUUUAAUAAAGUUUAUUAACUUAAUUACAAAAAUAUUAUAUUUCAUACUAAAAUUUGAAAUGGAAAAUACGUAUAAAUAAUAUAAUUGGUGUUUAUAGUUUGGCUAUUAUAUAGCUGUUAAUUAUAAUAAUUAGCGCAAUUAAAUUUAAUCAAGCAGCAAAAACUAACAUUUUUUAAACUACGUCCCGUUCGUCCGAAGAAAUUAAAAUAUUAAAAACAAAUAUCGACGCAUUACAAAAAUAAACUUCGCCCAUUCGAGGAAUUUCAUUUAAACAGAAAUAUUAAUACGCUACGGUAAUUCCGUUAACAAACGAAAUUAUUAAACGGCCAAAAAUAUAUAUCUGUUAUUAUUUUAUAUAUUAACAAUUAAUUUGUAGAUGGAAAAACGAAAAUCUCGGGCAAAUAUAUACGCGUAAUCUAUUGCGACGAUAUUUAUUACUUAUUAUUAAUAAACGCAAAAAUUUGAAUUUGUAAUAUUUAUUUUUCGAAAUAUCCGGUCCUUUACCAAAUUUAAUAAAAUACUUCGCAUUUCGAAAAUUGUUUAAAAAACGGAUUUUAAUUAUUCCGAACGAAUUGAAAUAUUAUAAGUUUGCGAUAAUAUAUUAACGCUCUAUAUAAACGAAGUGAUAAUAUUAAUACAAGUAAUUAUAAUGCAAAUUAAAACUGGUACUUAAAAGAUUAAUAUUUAAAAUGUAAACGUUAAAACAAAAGUUUAUAUUAAUAAAAUCGGUUAGUAUUUUAUCACGUUUGAUUUAAAACAAAUUAGUCUAGAGAAUAAUAGCGCCGACAUUGCUUUUUCUUUAAAAUAACCGGGAUUAAAUUACAAGAAUAACAAAUAUAUUAAAAAUUGAAAUAUUUAUUAUAAAAAGAUACAUAAUAAAGAUUAUAAUAAUUAUUAUAAUUGUUAUAAUAAAAACUUUACGCCUAAAUCUUAUAAGUUUGGAAUAAUAACCAAAACCCGUUAAUUUCCUUUUUCGCAUAUAAAUUUGCAAAACCCUGGUAAUAUACGGCGAUUUAUUUAAUAUAAAGUAAAUUAUUUCGAUUUCAUUCCAAUAAAAACAGCAUAUUGGGGGUUUUAAACAUUUUAACAUAUAUUAAUUUGAAAGAUCCGUUGUAAUUAUAUUAAAUAAACGCGUUUACAAUUACCGGUUCAAAACUAGUUUUAUUUUCCGAAAGGCUUAUUUUAAUAUUUUGGCAAAAUUGGAAAUAUUUAAUUAUGAAGUUAAUAUUAUUUAAAACUAAUUAGUUCCCCAAUUCGAUUAAAUAAAUAUUUCGAAUAAUAUUUUCAGCGUAAAUUAUGGACUAAAAAUAUAAUUUGUUAUUGGAAAUUGCAAAAAUUGAAUAAAUUUUAUAUUUAAAAACAUUAAUAUUUUAAACCCUUAUUCCGCUCCAUUUACAUCCAAAUUAUCCCUAAAUGGGGCGGAACUAAUGUUUUUUAUAUAUUUGUUUACGAGAAAACCCACGUAGUUUUUUUAAAAUUGCCUUUGUAUUUUUUCCAAAUUUUCAAAAUAAUAAUGAAAUUGGAACCUUUUAGUAAAAACGUUACGAAAAACUAUUGUUGUGGAAAUAAAUAAUUGUGUAAUUCUGUAUAUAUUAACUUCGAAAUUUACACCGCGGCGUGUAAUAAAACCAACCGUAUCUUAGAAAAUAAACGAAAAUAUAAUUUCCGGGGUAAUUAUAAAAAUAACUAAUUUUAAAACGCGAAAAUGCACCAAUUAUUAUUUUUGACCCAUUAACUUGAGUUUUCUUUAACAAACUCUUAAUAUUAUUGUCGAUAUUAAUAUUCCAAACGACGAAAAUUAACCGUGAAUCCCAAAUAUAAACAGCCGAAAAUGUAUUUUUCAACCCAUAUUUUUAAAUCGGAGGAAAAGAAUAAAAGUUACAUUUUAUAUAAAUACGCUGAAAAUAAUUAAGUUUUGAGUUUAUUAGUAGCUAUUAUUGCAAAAAUUAUACCCCCGGUUAAUAUACAAAAUAAAAACAUAUGCGUUACUUUAUAAAUUUUUGGGAAAAGAAUAUUAAAUUCCGUUUCUAAUUAUUUCUUAACAAAAUAUAUUUAGCGAAAAGUAUAAUAUUAGCCAUUUAAUUUAUCUGGUAUUACAAUUUAUAAAAGAUUGGGCUUUCAACCGUCUUUGGGUUAAUAUAACCGUACAGGGACUUUUUAAUUUGAACUAAAUUUAACAAAUCGGAGAAUAUUAUACCAAUUAUUAUAAAAUUAUAUAUUUAUUUAAAGAAUAUUAUCCAAAUCGAAGUUAUUAUUAGCUUGAUUAUUAUUAGAACUACCCGUUUAAAUAAUAGUAUUAAUAACUUUGUUUAUAUAAAGCGGAUUAAACCUUUUCCCGCGCUAUAAAUAUUAUUUCAUUAUUUUGUUUCGCGGAAUAAGAGUAUUAAAUAAAACGUAAUAAUCACGGUACUAGCGGAUCUGGAACUGGAUUUAUCAACCGCAAAUUUUGCUAAUAUUUCAUAGAAUUGCGAUUAAAUUAAAAUAAUAACCGUCCGCGGUACGUCGGUAACGUAUAUUUGGGAGAUAAAAUUGGCAAACACGAAAAUUAAAAUAAAAGAACAUCCACCGGAUAUUUAAAUGGUUUGUUUAUUUUAAAACCGAAAUGGUAUAUAAAAAUAACCGUUAAAUACCCAGUAACUCUACUGGUACUUAUCCUUCUGACAAAUAAACUUAAACCUAAUAAUAAAAUAAAUAAAAACGUUUUAUUAAUUAUACGUUAUUUGCUAAUUAAAAUCGAAAUGUUUAAAAGAGAUAUUAAUGCAAAACAAAAACAGAAUCUGCUGAUAUAACAGGCUUUAUUUAAGAAGAAAUGUUUAAUAUAUUACAGUAUUUCUACUAUUUGGAUAAAAAUAUCAAACGCCUAAGAGAAUGUAAUUACUAUUACCACGUAUAUUAAGAAAUGUUUUACAUUUGGAAAAAGGGUAAUUUCAGGCAAAUGUAUACGCGACGCAAAUAAAGUUUUGGGGUCGGUGCAUAUUUUAAAAUAUAUCCAAAUAAAACAUCCGUCGCCUUUACAUAAGAUAAACGCGUUUCCAAUUAUUACUUUAACACGGUUUUAUUAUUCGAAACGUUUUUUUAAUAUUUUAACUUAUUUUGCAAUAUUUGGUUUUAAAAUUAAAACUUUUUCACAACUAGCAAUUUUACCAAUUCGCGUAAUUUGGCGUUCCGGAUAUUACUCUUGGUUUGAAUCACAAAUUAAAAAAAUAAUCUAUUACAAAGAAUUGCAAAGAUUAAAUAAAUUCCAUGUUUAGGGAAACUAACACUUUAUACCCUAGCUUCUUUUUGUUUGCGUUAGUAUUAUUUUUGAAUAAACCGUAAUUAAUAUUAUUUAUAUUUUCGCCUAUAAAAAAGAGGAAUUAAUUUUGAAGUCGAUUUUAUAUAAGAUAUUAUAUUUUUAAAAUAAUAACCCAAUUGAAAUUUCUUUAUACAAAUAUUAUAAAAAGAGGUUUUUUCGCGGAAAUAAAUAAUUGUGUGUUUUGUAAUAUUAAUCCGGACUUUGUACCGCGGCGUAUAAUAUAAAUACUCGUAUAUUUUAAUAUAAUUAAAAGCAUUUA